rnacentral:lncRNA from 1 species
GUCAAAACUAGCCAGCCAAAUUUGUGAAAGAAACAAAAGAAUUUCUUGAACAAGAAAGGUAAUGGACCUGGUCAUGAUGGCACACAGGCCUAGCACUUAGGAGAUAGAGGCAGGAGAGGCAGGAAAUCAAGAUAAUCGUUGGCUUCACAAUGAACUCAGAGUCAGCCUGCUUGUCCCAAAAGAAUCAAAAGUGGGUUGGAAAGGCAGAUCAGUGGUUAAGAGCACUUGUUGCUCUUGCAGAGGAUCUGAGUUUUGUUUCCAGUACUCAAAUGUCUCACAACCAUACAUAACUCUAAUUCCAGAGGGGACCCAACACCUUCCUCUGACUCUCACAGGCACCAGGCACACAUGCAGGCAUAACACUCAUACACAGAAAAUACAUCCAUCCAAAAUAAGAAAGAUAUGAAGCAUUACUGAAUUCACACCAUCUCUCCCUUAAGACUGGGUGCACUGACUUGCUUUUGAAAGAACCUAGUGGGGAAACCCCCACUCAAUUCCUGAUUCGGUGUGCACCCAAGAAUCAUGAACAAACAGACCGUCUUGAUGUAAAAACAUGAGGUAGUUUAAUGGCGGAGCUCCAGGUCAAAACAUAUCUCACGCAGGAGACAAUGGAUUCGACCACGAGGCUUGGAAGCUAGGGGUUUUUAUAGAAAAGGGGCUGGGGCUCAGGGAAGAAUUGGUGCGGUUUCACAUGAUUGGUCCAUUUAAACAUCAGCAGACUGUACAUGCAGAUAACAUUUAACUUAGGUCAGAAGGGCGUGAGAUAGGGAGGCGCCGGGCCAGUCCAGCAUGCAUUCUCUUUAUAUUUAUGGCCAAGCAGCCUCAGGAAUGUCUUAACGACGGGCCUGCUCGGGCAUGUCCUGGCCUGUUCUGCUAUGUUCUCAGCCCCAGGUUUCAAAGUCACAAACAACUCUUUGGGCUAUUUGACAUACAUUACAUGAAUCACAGGUCUCAAGUUUUAUUUUCUUUCACUUUGACGUAAUAAAGUACUGACAGGGAGAAAGAGCACCCACAAGCUAAAGUGGCAGACACUACCGUAGUCAGAUCGUGAAUAUUAAUUCCAUCAGAGACGUCUUGUGUCACUGCAGCAGGAAUGAGUAGGCAUCUUAUUGACCACAGCAGCUUGGCGAAUCCCUUAACCUCUUAGGGACCUUAGCUCAGGCACAACUGGAUUCUUGGCUUUCCCAAAAAUUUGUGAAUUUUUAGAAAAGAAUUUCAGAGUACGCUAAUAUGAAGCAUAUUGAAUUUAUUAAGAAGAAAAUUUAAACAUCUAUUUUAAGCACAUGAGUUAAAAGAAAGAAAAGUUUAGAAAGUAAAGUUGCAUGGAGAAUAGAGGUGUGGGCUUUUUCAGGGAGACCCGUACUGAGUGUCUUAGCAUUGGCUACCUAUGCUAUUCUGGCGGCUGUCAAUCAUAUUGGGAAGGGUUGCCAAAACUCAUGUCUUUUGUUUUUCUUUUUCUACCCUCUUCUAUGUAUAUGAAACAAUGGGUUGGCUCUGAGGUGACUUGGAUAAGAUUAUCAUCUAAUAAGAGGAAAGCAGGUGCCAUCAGGGUUGCACAAGGAGUUUACCAGAUAUCUUCUGUUGUAAAUGAGAUUUUUAAAAGUAUUGUUUUAUUAUUUAACAAGUUCAUCCAUGUUGCUUGAUCAUAUCUACCCCCAACUCCUCCUUUCCAACUCUUGCAAUGUUUGCUCCUAGUACCUCUCCUUCCAUACCUAACACUUUCCUUAAAUACUAUAACCCACUAAGUCCCAUUAAUGCUGUCUAUGCAAUGUGGAACCACCCAGGGGGGCAUGGGUGACCUACCAGUUGACAGUCACCAAUGGGAAAUAAAAUGGGUCUUUGUUGGAAGAACUGAAGGUAGACCAGCCUUAAGCAAAUUUUAUUAACUGUGCUGGAAGUCUUGAAUCUUACCUGGUGAGAGAUUUUAACUGAAUUCCCUGGGGAGAGCCACCUUUUUCUUUCCACACGUUCCACUGUCUUCCUUGUUUUUAUUUUUUUGUUUGUUUUUGUUUUUGCUUUUUGUUUUUUAUUCAGCUUCAGUAGGACAUGCCAAAAGAGUUCUUCAUCUUUGAUUUCUUCUUUCUCUAGAUCUAUGUGUAGUUCUAUUCUAAUGAUGAAAAAGAAGACAAAACCCAUACUGGGUCAUGUUCUGUAAGGCAGCUGCUGGUUGCCUUGAGACUGUUAAACACAGAAACAAGGAAAGCUGACAAACCCCGAGAAGAGGCUAGGGAUAUAUGGAGACUACGGCAUGAGCUGGAUGCUAAGGAUGUGUAUGGAAAGUGUGGUGAUUUCAUAUGGUGAAUUCAGAGCAUGCUCUUGAACUAUCAGAAGCCUCUUUGUUUUGACAGACGUGUGAUACUAAAAUAAGAUGCAGGAUGUGUGGGAAAUGGCAUAAGUGUCGUCUGAGAGCUCUGUGUUGUAUUUACACUUCUGUCUAUGCAUUUAAACGUCUCUUUAAGCAGUAGGCUGAUGAGGAGUAAACUCACUGUAGAGUGCUUACCUAGCACACUUAAGACCCUACAUUUAAUCCCCAGCACCUCAAACCAAAACCAAAACUAAAUACAAGGCUCUGAAGUGUGACAAGCAGAGGUCCCAGGACAACCUCCUAGGCCAUUAUAGGUGCACAUGCUCAGAUGCAGAAGGAGAUGACUGGAGGAUCACCAUGAUGUCAGAUGCAGAAGGAGAUAUGAUGGCUGUGAAACCCAGAGACUGGGUGAAUCUCCAGAUUGUUAAAGGGAGGAUGAAGGAAAAUGGUCAUUUGGUUCCAGAAAGGAGUUGAAUGAAACUAUCCUCUAGACAAUGAGGACAGCUUAUUAGAAGGGAGGGGAGAUGAACACAAUCAUGGAGGUUAUGGUUGGACCAUAAGUUUAGAAAGCAUUAUGGUAUGGCCAUCAUGCCAGAGCAUGCAACAGCAGUGUGGUGGGACCUUGGGAUGGAAGAACAUUGUAGACAAAGUUAGCUUAAGGUUAUAUAUAGACUAGAAAACAAUCUGCUGUGGAUUGCAAGGUGGAUUACAUGGGGUUGGGGAUGAGAGUAUGACAUUCAGGGAAAGGGAGGAGGAGAGAGAAGGGAAGAGCAAGUGAUAGACUGUGAAAAAUCCCCUAGUUUGACGACGUUUCUCCAGGAUGAGGAGCCUGGACAAAGUUCAAAGCCAGUUUCCAGCAGAGAUAAAGAAGCAAUUGGAUCACAAAUUCCUGCUAUAUCUUAAAGGGAUGCGACUAGGGCAGCAAAGGAUUUCUCAGUUCUUUGUUUCAAAGGAUAGACUGGGGUGGGGGUAGGUGGGGGCUGAUAGACCUCAAAGUGACAAGCCUGUGCUUUAACAUGGACUCAGCCAUGGUGAGGCUAAGCUCAGGGAGACACCAUAAGGAAGAGACAGAGGAGGUCUUCCCAGGUGGAAGAUGAACACCAGUCUCAUUGCUAAAACCUCCGGGAGACAGCACAAGGCAAGCACCGAUAGGCAUCCUUUGCUUUGGGCUACAUGAUGGUUGGAGUCGUGGGGUGAGUAGCUUGUCUGGAAGACAGGGGUGAACCUUGGCUGAAGCAGGGACAGUGGUUGGGAGUAAGUAUGUGGUAAAUGGAUGGGAACAGCAGUGCUAGCUUGGGUAGUGUGCAAAGAAAUGGGGUCGGAGGGCCUAGGGGACACACAUUUUAAUGAGAGGACUAUACCCAAGUCUGUAGCAUUCAGGUCCCUUCCUGCUCAUCCUGCUUUUGUUUCUCUCACAGAAAGCUAUUGUCUGCACACCUGGCCAUCAAGCUAUGCUAUGCACACCUGGUCUUCAAGCUAUGAUCUGAACAUCUGGCUGUCACGCUACGAUCUGAACACACAGCCAUCGAGCUAUGCUCUGCACACCUGAGUGGAUUCUCACCUCUGGAUUGCACCUAAAACCGAAAGAAGGGAUUCAAAGAAGUUGUAUGUCA